GGCGAGCCCCGGCAUGCCUAUACCUGCAGUCGAGCGGACGUAUGCAUAAAGAAGCUUGCUUCUCCCUGAUGGGUUAGCGGCGGACGGGUGAGUAACACGUAGGCAACCUGCCCUCAAGUUUGGGACAACUACCGGAAACGGUAGCUAAUACCGAAUAAUUGUUUUCUUCGCCUGAAGGAAACUGGAAAGACGGAGCAAUCUGUCACUUGGGGAUGGGCCUGCGGCGCAUUAGCUAGUUGGUGAGGUAACGGCUCACCAAGGCGACGAUGCGUAGCCGACCUGAGAGGGUGAUCGGCCACACUGGGACUGAGACACGGCCCAGACUCCUACGGGAGGCAGCAGUAGGGAAUCUUCCGCAAUGGGCGAAAGCCUGACGGAGCAAUGCCGCGUGAGUGAUGAAGGUUUUCGGAUCGUAAAGCUCUGUUGCCAGGGAAGAACGCUUGGGAGAGUAACUGCUCUCAAGGUGACGGUACCUGAGAAGAAAGCCCCGGCUAACUACGUGCCAGCAGCCGCGGUAAUACGUAGGGGGCAAGCGUUGUCCGGAAUUAUUGGGCGUAAAGCGCGCGCAGGCGGUCAUUUAAGUCUGGUGUUUAAUCCCGGGGCUCAACCCCGGAUCGCACUGGAAACUGGGUGACUUGAGUGCAGAAGAGGAGAGUGGAAUUCCACGUGUAGCGGUGAAAUGCGUAGAUAUGUGGAGGAACACCAGUGGCGAAGGCGACUCUCUGGGCUGNAACUGACGCUGAGGCGCGAAAGCGUGGGGAGCAAACAGGAUUAAAUACCCUGGUAGUCCACGCCGUAAACGAUGAGUGCUAGGUGUUAGGGGUUUCCAUACCCCUUGGNGCCGUAGAUAAUUCAAG
rnacentral:rRNA from 1 species